rnacentral:rRNA from 1 species
UACGUAGGGAGCAAGCGUUGUCCGGAAUUACUGGGCGUAAAGGGUGCGUAGGUGGCCAUGUAAGUCAGAUGUGAAAUACCCGGGCUUAACCCGGGGGGUGCAUUUGAAACUGUGUGGCUUGAGUGCAGGAGAGGGAAGUGGAAUUCCUAGUGUAGCGGUGAAAUGCGUAGAUAUUAGGAGGAACACCAGUGGCGAAGGCGACUUUCUGGACUGUAACUGACACUGAGGCACGAAAGCGUGGGGAGCAAACAGGAUUAGAUACCCUGGUAGUCCACGCCGUAAACGAUGGAUACUAGGUGUGGGGCCCGAAUGGGUUCCGUGCCGAAGCUAACGCAUUAAGUAUCCCGCCUGGGGAGUACGAUCGCAAGGUUGAA